UGAGACCAGAGCUCUCGGGAUCACUUACCUUAUCUAGACCAUCUCUAAUUCCUGAGACUGAGGGAUAAAAAGGACAAAAAAAAAAAAACUUUAAAUUUUUUUCUUAUUCCAAGUGUUGUUUAUAAACUAGUGAGUUUUAUAUUGUAAUAUCUGACUCAUGACUAAGUUUAGAAAAUGCAGCUAGAUUUCUUGUUGUGUCUGUCUGGAUAUAUGUAUGUCUUAGUAUGUGUCUUUGUCUUUGGAUAAUAUUGCUGUGGUUAAUUUGUAAAUAAGCUCUAUUUAAUUGGCUUAAAGAAAAGUAAGUGCUUACAAAUCAAAUAAUUCUAAAUGCAAGAGAAAUUAAGCUAAAUGAAUUUCAGGUUCACGUGAACUGGGAAAUAGUAUUAAAUUAAUACCUGGUAUUAAUGUUUGUUUGUUGAUCUAAUUAAUAUAGAUACAUCUUUAGAGUCAUCAACAUUAUGGAUAAUACUUUAUUGUGCCUCAGUUUAAUAUAAGCUAAAUAAAAUCUUGUUAUAUCUGUUACAAAUUUGUCAGCAAGGAAAGUAAUUUGAUGUGAAAAAAACUUUUAAGGAAAGAAAAUAUAAAUGAGAUAAGAGCUUUUAGAUAAACUCUAUUAAGAAUAAUUAUGCUUCUAAAUUAUGCUUCUAAUAAUUAUGCAUCUAAAAUAGUCUCUCCACCUGGUGUGAUUCCAUCCUGUGCACCUGUUCCCUGGAGCAGUAGUCUUUUUUCUCCGUCCGCCUUCUCUCCCACCUAAGUGCGUGCCACCAACCCAUGGAAGAUUCGAUGGACAUGGACAUGAGCCCCCUGAGGCCCCAGAACUAUCUUUUCUAUUGUGAACUAAAGGUCGACAAAGAUGAUCACCUUAAGGUGGAUAAUGAUGAAAAUGGGCACCAGUUAUCUUCAAGAACGGUCAGUUUAGGGGCUGGCGCAAAGGAUGAACUGCACAUUGUCGAAGCAGAGGCGAUGAAUUAUGAAGGCAGUCCAGUCAAAGUAACACUGGCAACUUUGAAAAUGUCUGUGCAGCCAACCGAUUCCCUUGGGGGCUUUGAAAUAACACCACCUGUGGUCUGAUGGUUGAAGUGUGGUUCAGGGCCUGUGCAUAUUAGUGGACAGCACUUAGUAGCUGUGGAGGAAGAUGCAGAGUCAGAAGACAAAGAGGAGGAGGGUGUGACACUCCUAAGUAUAUCUGGAAAGCGUUCUGCCCCUGGAAGCGGUAGCAAGCUUCCACAGAAAAAAGUAAAACUUGCUGCUGAUGAAGAUGAAGAUGAUGAUGAAGAUGACAAUGAUAAUAAGGAAGCUGAAGAAAAAGCUCCAGUAAAGAAAUCUGUACGAGAUACUCCAGCUAAAAGUUAACAAAAAUCAAACCAGAAUGGAAAAGACUCAAAACCAUCAACACCAAGAUCAAAAGGUCAAGAAUCCUUCAAAAAACAGGAAAAAAACUCCUAAAAUACCGAAAGGACCUAGCUCUUAGAAGACAUUAAAGCAAAAAUGCAAGCAAGUAUAGAAAAAGGUGGUUCCCUUCCCAAAGUGGAAGCCAAAUUCAUCAAUUAUGUGAAGAACUGUCUCCAGAUGACUGACCAGGAGGCUAUUCAAGAUCUCUGGCAGUGGAGGAAGUCUCUUUAAGAAAAUACUUUAAACAGUUUGUUAAAAUUUCCCAUCUUAUUUCAUUUCUGUAACAGUUGCUAUCUGGCUGUCCUUUUUAGAGUGCAGAGUGAGAACUUUCCGUACCGUGUCUGAUAGUUGUCCAGGUUCCAUUGCCAAGAAUGUGCUGUCCAAAAUGCCUGUUUAGUUUUUAAAGAUGGAACUCCACCCUUUGCUUGGUUUUAAGUAUGUAUGGAAUGUUAUGAUAGGACAUAGUAGUAGUGGUGGUCA